rnacentral:rRNA from 1 species
AGUGAACGCUGGCGGUAGGCCUAACACAUGCAAGUCGAACGGCAGCACAGUAAGAGCUUGCUCUUACGGGUUGCGAAUGGCGGACGGGUGAGGAGACCAUCGUAACCUACUCUUUCGUGGGGGAUCACGUAGCGAAACUUACGCUAAUACUGCAUACGACCUACGGUUGUGAGCAGGGGAUCUUCGCACCUUGUGCGAUUGAACGAGCCGAUGUCGGAUUAGCUAGUUGGCGGGGUAAUGGCCCACCAAGGCGACGAUCCGUAGCUGGUCUGAGUGGCUGGUCGCCCGCACUGGAACGGAAACGCGGACCAGAGUCCUACGAGACGCAGCAGUGUGGAAUAGGGGGCAAAGGUGGCGAGCCUGAUCCAGCCAUACGGCGUGGGUGAAAAAAGCCUUCGGGGUGUAAAGCCCUUCUGUUGGGAAAGAAAAGCAGCAGGUUAUUACCCCGCGGUUCUGACGGUACCCAAAGAAUAAGCACCGGCUAACUUCGUG